CAGAUACUGCUCUUAUUGUAUCAGCAAGAGGAGGAGACUAUGAGACUGUAAAAGUACUGCUGGAUAAUGGAGCUGAUCCAAAUGAAUGGGAUGGCGUACGUACUACAGCACUAAUGGCAGCAAUAAA